GGAGCCAUGGCAGAGUGGUAAUGCACUGGACUCGAAAUCCAGCGAACCGUGUAAAGCGGCGCAGGGGUUCAAAUCCCUUGACUCCU
rnacentral:tRNA from 1 species